CGAGAAGCCAGAGUGGAGAUUGAAUUUCUGGCUCUGAUGCUGACAUUAUCAGAUGAAAUGCCUGUUAUCAAGGCAAAAAUCCAUGAGGAAACAGGCAUGCCUCCAGGCAAACAGAAGUUGCAGUGAGAGGUAAUCCAAAAUUCGAGUAGUCGUGGGCACAGAAAUUGGAAAGGAGUGAUGGUUUCAUGAAGAAGCACCAUUGGGAUAGCUGUGAUGCGGUGGCACGCUAAAUAGUGUUGAAAUGCAAUGUGCUGAAUUCUCCAUCGAUCGGGCGUUCUCCUCGUCGGUAGUGAAGGCGUCAGCAUUGUAGCUUCUUGGCGGAUGCCAGGGUGACAGUGCUGGUUGUCUUGCCAUCAGGUUUGUGAAAUCUCAGCUGAAGGGACAGGCAAGGUGAAGGAUGCUGCUCUGAAGAUCAUUCCAGGAGAUGGUUUUGAGUGGUACUUCCAAGAACUGUACAGCUGAUGGAUAAGUGUAUAGUUGCCCAAGGACAGUACUUUGAGGGCAGUGUUGUGUAAUCUCAAAUUUGCAUCAUCGGUUGGUGACAAUAAAUCCAUAUCAGAAUUUUC